rnacentral:rRNA from 1 species
AUUGAACGCUGGCGGCAGGCCUAACACAUGCAAGUCGAGCGGAUGAAGGGAGCUUGCUCUCUGAUUUAGCGGCGGACGGGUGAGUAAUGCCUAGGAAUCUGCCUGGUAGUGGGGGAUAACGUUCCGAAAGGAACGCUAAUACCGCAUACGUCCUACGGGAGAAAGCAGGGGACCUUCGGGCCUUGCGCUAUCAGAUGAGCCUAGGUCGGAUUAGCUAGUUGGUGAGGUAAUGGCUCACCAAGGCGACGAUCCGUAACUGGUCUGAGAGGAUGAUCAGUCACAAUGGAACUGUGACACGGUCCAGACUCAUACGGGAGGAAGCAGUGGGGAAUAUUGGACAAUGGGCGAAAGCCUGAUCCAGCCAUGCCGCGUGUGUGAAGAAGGUCUUCGAAUUGUAAAGCACUUUAAGUUGGGAGGAAGGGCAGUAAGUUAAUACCUUGCUGUUUUGACGUUACCGACAGAAUAAGCACCGGCUAACUUCGUGCCAGCCGCCGCCGUAAUAC